UAACAUAAUCUAAUGUUUUGCUUUUGCUGUAAAGCCUUUUUGAAAUCGGACAACGUGGUUCGAUUCAGGAGAGGUGUAUCUAUAAAACGAUAUAAUUUUUUUUUUUUAAAUUGGAGAAAAAAAAAGUAUUACAUUUUGUUAUGCUAAUGGCGAUAGGAUUUUUCGCUGGAUGUCCGUCCCGAGGCCGCACAGGGGUUAAUAGUUGAUUCUAAGAUUUGUAUUUGAUCAUGUAUAUGUUUUUGCUGUUUGUUUGUUCUUUUGUUAUCGAGCGAAAAAUAUUGCAGAAGUGGUUUAUCCAUACAUUUUGGUUAGAUAACUUUUUGUUGUUUAGUGUGUUCCAAUUUUCCCAGAAGUGGUUAGACUCUAUAGAUUCAAUUACAUUGAGCUGAUUUCUGAUGUGCUGUUCCUUUUUUUCCCCUCCGUAGUGUAUUUCUGUAUUGUUUUAGUGAUUCACCAUAGUGAAGGCGUAGGCUCAGGUUUUCUGUGCCUCUGUUUUUGUUUGGAUAGGUUUCUCAAUUUCUUUCUUAGGUUUUUGUAUUCUUCAUCAAACCAUUUGUCGUUGUUGUUCAUUUUCUUAGGUUGGCUGCUUGACAUUUUUUUAUUUGAAAGUGAAGCUGAGAGGUCAAAUAUAUUGUUGAGGUUUUCUACUGCCAUGUUUACGCCUUCACUAUUACAGCGAAACGUUUUGUCCAGUAAGUUGUCUAGAAGGGAUGAAUUUGUUGAUGCUUAAUAGUUUUUUGGUAGAUUUCUACACUACUUUCCUUCCAUCUAUAGCAUUUUUUAAAUAUUAUGCAGUUCCUUUGGCUUUGAUGCCUCAUUAUUGAGUAUUGCUCUGUUCAACUAGACUGUGAUUUUGCUGUGAUCUGAUAGGGUUGUAAGUGGGCUGACUGUGAACGCUCUGAGAGACUCUGGGUUGAGGUCAGUGAUAAAGUAAUCUACUGUACUACUGUCAAGGGAUGAGCUGUAGGUGUACCUACCAUAGGAGUCCCCUCAAGCCUACCAUUGACUAUGUACAGACCCAGCUGUGACAGAGCUGCAGGAGUUGUGACCUGUUUUUGUUGAUUGUUUUGUCAGGGGGGCAUAUUUGGGAGGGAAUGCUGUCACCUCCAGGUAGGUGUUUGUUCCCCUGUGUGCUAAGAGUUUCAGGUUAAUGUCCAGUUCUGGCAUUUAGGUCGCCACAAACUAGUUCAUGUCCUUGGGCCUGGAAAUGGUUGAUCCCCCCCCCCCCCCUUCUAGGAUGGAGAAGCAGUCAUCGUUAAAGUAUGGGGCAGCAACUAAGACACAGGAGGUAAGAAAUAAUUUGAACAUCACAGAUAUAAAUUCCCACUGUGCCAUGAUAAAGUUAACUACAUUAUUUUAGUUGGCUGCUUUGAGCAAUACGUGUAUGUAAUAUAACCUAUUCUGGGAGCCUACAGUAGUGUUUGUGUGUGUGUGUGUGUGUGUCUAUGAACUACGUGGAAUAUUUUUGGACUGUUGGCUUCCCUGAAAACAGGUACUGACAGGAGGCGUAACGAGAAUGCUGAUUGGAAUAAAACCUCAAGGUAAGAACUGAUUUGUGUGAAACUAUUUACAAGAUAUGCUGUGCCAACUCUGGGAGCAUGUGGUCCUUGAAAAACUCCUCUAGUCCAGCAAUAUGAGUCUGCCAGAGGUCGUUACUUUGGAUGGGAAUGGUGAUGGAGGCUUUGGUGGUCCACACAACGAAGAAGCAAGUGUCCCUUCCAGUGAUGUGGAGCUGCCCUUGGACCUGGUGCCAGUAAGGAUGGUCUUCAGAGACGCAGCGAUGGAGUAACGAGCUUGGGCCUAACCAGUACUCCAAAAUUGUUUUCUGUCAACUUCCCUCUCCUCACGGUGUGCCAGUUGGGGUUGGUGCGCUGUCCAACUGUUGCCUACUUCUCCACCGACAGCAGGAUGCCAGCCAGGAUGCCUGCAUGCCCUAGGUGCCUUUUUAAAACAAUGUCUGGUACAGACAGGAAUGACAGGGAGGGUAGAGGUUGUUCUGGCUCAGGUUCAAGGAGACCUGCCCCGGAGACAGUUCCUUAGCCACUGAACAUCCUCCUCUGUGGGCUCACUCACUCUCAUGGCUGGCUUCCUCCACUCGCAUUCCACAUCCGUACAACCGAUAUUGUGAACUGCAAAAAUAGCCAAUGCAACUACAUUGCUACACUUAUGAGCUCCACGGUGCAUUUGCAUGCGUUAGAGAGAAUCCGCUGGUCACCUAUUGAGACCUGCCAAGAGGAAGGAUGCCACAUUCCUUUUCAAUGCUUUUAACACCUUGAAAAGCAUUUUUUUGUAAGAAAUGUGCUAUAUAAAUAAAGUUUGAUUUGAUUGAUGACAUUACAGCUGUAGAAUAUGUAAUAAACUCUAAUUUUCACAUGAAGACAAGUGCAGUUUUUCCAUAAGCAAUGUUUUCUAACUUGACACAUCCAUCAUACAGUGGGUAAAGAUCCUAUAAAUGAAGAAUGUGUGAAUGCAUGUACCACUUUGAAUAUUGAAAUGAUGUGCCUUUGAGGUUUUCCCUCUGGACAUAGAGGCUGGAUGUCUAAACAAAGUCAAUCAUUCUGAAUGUCAAUGGAUUUAAAUAAAAAUCUCAUUAAUGACAA